UACGAAGGGGGCGAGCGUUGUUCGGAUUUACUGGGCGUAAAGGGCGCGCAGGCGGCUCAUUUUGUCAGGCGUGAAAGCCCCGGGCUUAACCUGGGAACUGCGUUUGAUACGGAUGGGCUAGAGUUCGGGAGAGGAGAGUGGAAUUCCCAGUGUAGAGGUGAAAUGCGCAGAUAUCAGGAAGAACACCCGUGGCUAAGGCGGUUCUCUAGUACGGUACUGACGCUGAGACGCGAAAGCGUGGGGAGCGAACAGG
rnacentral:rRNA from 1 species